GAUGAACGCUAGCGGCAGGCUUAAUACAUGCAAGUCGAGGGACAGCACAGGUAGCAAUACUGGGUGGUAACCGGCAAACGGGUGCGGAACACGUACACAACCUUCCUUUAAGUGGGGGAUAGCCCAGAGAAAUUUGGAUUAAUACCCCGUAAUAUAGUUGAAUGGCAUCAUUUGAUUAUUAUAGCUACGGCGCUUAAUGAUGGGUGUGCGGCUGAUUAGAUAGUUGGCGGGGAAACGGCCCACCAAGUCUACGAUCAGUAGCUGAUGUGAGAGCAUGAUCAGCCACACGUGCACUGAGGGACGGGCCCGACUCCUACGGGAGGCAGCAGUAAGGAAUAUUGGUCAAUGGACGCAAGUCUGAACCAGCCAUGCCGCGUGAAGGAUUAAGGUCCUCUGGAUUGUAAACUUCUUUUAUUUGGGACGAAAAAGGGCCUUUCUAGGUCAACUGACGGUACCAGAUGAAUAAGCACCGGCUAACUCCGUGCCAGCCGCCGCAGUAAAAC
rnacentral:rRNA from 1 species